GAAGACACAGUUGUAAUUAAAUGAAUUUUAUUAACACUGAGACAUGCAAGAGUAAAUAUCACAACUACUAAAAGAUAUUAAUAAAUGAAUAUGCACUGCGAACGAAUAAUAAACUAAUGAAUAAACAAAAGAUGCCACAAGUCACACAUAAAAAAUUAUACAUGAAGUGAAGACAGAAAGGAUAAAUGCAAUGGAAGAGAAUUAUAUGGUCGCAAACAUCUUAUGGGGAAACCACUUAAAGGCUCUGGCAAGUGAUAAAUAAAUGCUUAUUUAUCAUUAAAUAAAUAAUCUUACUAUUACUUGUUAUGAGCUGACCCCAGAGAAAUGUUCCACAAGGUCGGGUGAGCAGUCUGGUGGCAGAGACGUCGUCCACUGGUGUCGUGUUCCAAUAGGUGUUGCCACGCUGGGCUGGAGAAUACUGAACUCCUAUUGCUCCGGGAAGAUCCUUAGAGUCUGGACAGUCGUCACAGCGUCCUUUGCAGGCGGGGCUGUGUUACUGAGGACCUGUGUGGGUCAGACAAUAUCUGCCAAUGCGGGGAUCCUUACAGUCUGGAACAUGCAGCUGAAGGUACCUUGAAGGGAAGGUUUUGCUCGCAAAAAUGCUUAACCUUUAUCGUACUGUUGCCUCUCUCUUUGUCAGGACGGUUGUUUUUGUUAAUGAAUUCUACCUCAUGGGCCGAAGACUCAGAAUGUGGUGUUUAUGUUAAUGUCUCUUUCCUCAUCAGGUUAGAAACCCAGAAAGCAGGUGCAGAUCGGGGAGAUUUGUCCCUUUAUCCCUUUCUGCUAAGGAGGAGACUGUAAUCUGGCACCUUUCCGUUCCAGCAACGUGAUUGGCUAUUGCCAGAAGUGGCCGCAGUGUGGAACUCAUUUGCAUAGCAUAAAGUACAGAGUUGGAGAAGUGUCUUUAAAGUGUAGCCUAUGCAUUAUUUCUUUUCCAAACCUGUUUCAAAAUAUUACAGGCAUUGUGCUGAACACGUUGAGUCCAAACAUGAUAAGAAAUGGUGUUUAUGUAGUUAUAAGUGUCACAAUGUAGAUGUUUUAUUUAAUUAAGUCCAGCAAACAAAUCCAAUCCAUAAGGCAAGUUCAAAGUCAAGGCAGGCAAAAGGGUCAAGCAAUCUGCAAACAGUAUAUCAAAGGAGAACCAGAAUACCAAAACCAGAGAACAAACAAAGUAAAAAAACCAAAACAAAACAGAAUAGCGAAACAGGACACAAGUGAAACUUGUGAAACUGAACAAUUACUUUAUGGGGCAGGGUAAGUGAUUUAACUAUCCUAUUGGCUCUGCUCGGAGUAUGGCAUUGGCAAACCAAUAGGGUGGGAGAUACCCGAUUAUUUAAGGACCCUUAUUUUGGUAGGCGCAUAGGUGUCUCAGUGAUUUGGAGUUCUUCGCUCCCCUGGCAUUUCCGGUUCCCAUUUCCACGCAGGCUUUGCUCAGGCUUUGCUCAGGCUUUGCUCAGGCUUUGCUCAGGCUUUGCUCAGGCUUUGCUCAGGCUUUGCUCAGGCUUUGCUCAGGCUUUGCUCAGGCUUUGCUCAGGCUUGUAAUGAGGUGAACAUCUCAAGGCUAAUUUGUUUAUUUAUAGUCUUAGAGCGGCGCUGGUGGCGUGUGCAUUGUGGCGAGUUGGCACCAGAGAUCGCGUUCAGUGAUCACAACGUUUAGCUGGUGGCUGGAUGAUAUGUAUAUGUAUGAGGGAUCAUACAACUUCAUGUCUGGUGUUUGUUCAACCGAAUGGAGCCAGUGAGUCUUGGUGGUGCAGGGGAGGCUAGCUGCAUUUAUUCGGUGGUGUGUUUCACAGCAUGCUCAGUGUGCCAACCCAACGACUUCCUUAUAGUGUAGGUAGUGUUUGAUGAUUUUGGUGUGACUUGCAGUGGGUUUGGAUGACCUCCUGAGCUGUAGCUGGCCUGCCCGGUCCCUGCUAAGCCUGGGCCUGGAGAAGUGCUUAGUUUUAAAAUCCUUAUUGUGCUUCAUUGGAGAGCGAUUUUAUAUUUGUAUGUUAAAUUUUAAUGAUGCUUAAGUGUCAUAAUAAAAUAUAAUCUUUAUUCAUA